CCAGACUCCUACGGGAGGCAGCAGUGGGGAAUAUUGGGCAAUGGGCGCAAGCCUGACCCAGCAACGCCGCGUGAAGGAAGAAGGCUUUCGGGUUGUAAACUUCUUUUAAGAGGGAAGAGUAGAAGACGGUACCUCUUGAAUAAGCCACGGCUAACUACGUGCCAGCAGCCGCGGUAAUACGUAGGUGGCAAGCGUUGUCCGGAUUUACUGGGUGUAAAGGGCGUGCAGCCGGAGAGACAAGUCAGAUGUGAAAUCCACGGGCUCAACUCGUGAACUGCAUUUGAAACUGUUUCCCUUGAGUGUCGGAGAGGUAAUCGGAAUUCCUUGUGUAGCGGUGAAAUGCGUAGAUAUAAGGAGGAACACCAGUGGCGAAGGCGGAGUACUGGGCGAUAACUGACGGUGAGGCGCGAAAGCGUGGGGAGCAAACAGGAUUAGAUACCCUCGUACCG
rnacentral:rRNA from 1 species